GAUGAACGCUGGCGGCGUGCAUAACACAUUCAAGUCGAACGGUGCAGCAAUGCCUAGUGGCGGACGGGUGAGUAACGCGUGAGCAACCUGCCUGUGUGAGGGGGACAACAGCCGGAAACAGCUGCUAAUACCGCAUGAAGUAUUCGAAUCGCAUGGUUUGAAUACCAAAGAUUUAUCGCACACAGAUGGGCUCGCGUCCGAUUAGCUAGAUGGUGAGGUAACGGCUCACCAUGGCGACGAUCGGUAGCCGGACUGAGAGGUUGAACGGCCACAUUGGAACUGAGAUACGGUCCAGACUCCUACGGGAGGCAGCAGUGGGGAAUAUUGGGCAAUGGGCGAAAGCCUGACCCAGCGACGCCGCGUGAAGGAAGACGGUCUUCGGAUUGUAAACUUCAAACAACAGGGAAGAAACAAAUGACUGUACCUGUUAGGAAGCCACGGCUAACUACGUGCCAGCCGCCGCCGUAAUAC
rnacentral:rRNA from 1 species